AAAUAGUUUCCGACCUUAGACACCCCACAUUUAGGUUUCAGUGUAGCCUUUCCCUUUCUAGGAUUGGGCCUACCUUUGCCCUUGGGCUUUGUCUGAACUUUGGCCUUUCCCUUGCCCUUGUUGUUACGAACCAUCAGUAUGGGCUUGGGUCCAACCUUUUUCAUGUUGCCUUCAGGAGUUUGCAACAUACUGAGCAACUG
rnacentral:lncRNA from 1 species